AUUGAACGCUGGCGGCAGGCCUAACACAUGCAAGUCGAGCGGCAGCGGGAAAGUAGCUUGCUACUUUUGCCGGCGAGCGGCGGACGGGUGAGUAAUGCCUGGGAAAUUGCUCAGUCGAGGGGGAUAACAGUUGGAAACGACUGCUAAUACCGCAUACGCCCUACGGGGGAAAGCAGGGGACCUUCGGGCCUUGCGCGAUUGGAUAUGCCCAGGUGGGAUUAGCUAGUUGGUGAGGUAAUGGCUCACCAAGGCGACGAUCCCUAGCUGGUCUGGGAGGAUGAUCAGCCAGACUGGAACUGAGACACGGUCCAGACUCCUACGGGAGGCAGCAGUGGGGAAUAUUGCACAAUGGGGGAAACCCUGAUGCAGCCAUGCCGCGUGUGUGAAGAAGGCCUUCGGGUUGUAAAGCACUUUCAGCGAGGAGGAAAGGUUGAUGCCUAAUACGUAUCAACUGUGACGUUACUCGCAGAAGAAGCACCGGCUAACUCCGUGCCAGCCGCCGCCGUAAAAC
rnacentral:rRNA from 1 species